UAAAACCUUCGGGGAUCGGUGAAAUUCCGUACCGGCGGUAUAGCCCGCGAGCCUUUUGGCAGACUCGGUGAAAUUCCGAGGCCGACAGUUAAAGUCUGGAUGGGAGAAGGAGAAA
rfam:Thermoanaerobacter pseudethanolicus ATCC 33223, complete genome.